AUGUGAGGAAUUUUAGUCAAUUGUCCCCCCUUCUCCCUUCUUCUCUUACGACUUUGUUAAUAUUCGGAUUUGAUAAUCUGGAAUCACUUUCAACGGGACUCCAACACCUCACAUCCCUUCAACAUCUUUCAAUUAGCAUGUGCCCAAAGGUGAACGAUCUACCAGAGACGCUGUUACCUUCACUUUUGAGUUUGAGAAUAUGGAGAUGCCCAAAAUUGAAAGAAAGGUGUGAAGGAAGAGGCUCCCACUACUGGCCACACAUCUCUCAUAUCCCCUGCAUUGAAAUAUAGACUGGAGGAACAUAUCCUAAAGGAUCUUCUGGGUGAUGGAACAUUCACAGUUGACCAGGUCAUAUUCAAGAACAGAGAAAAGUCUCAAGGUGUGAAUUUUCAGGGUUAUCUUGAGUAAAGUGCAGUAAAACUCGCGCAUAUAAUUACCGAAUCAGCUAAUAACAGACAAGGUGUCGAUGACAUAAGUGAUUUAUUCAUGAAAAUCAGUUGGAUUCAAUAUUCAAAGUGAAGGUCUUAAGAAAUUGUCAAACAUCGGACCAGAGGCUAAGUUAAAGGAAAGGGUCAAAGUGCUUGAUGAUGGACAAGAUCAUUUCUGUUGAAGAAAGAAGAUAUUCUGCAAAUCAACAACACACAUCCAAAAUACUUCAUAAUUGGUGGAAAGGAGGCUACAUCUAUUUCCAUUAUUUUGGUUCAUUUACAUGCUCUUGAAACAUCCUGAGAUUCAAGAUAUGGUUGAAUAAGAAAUCAAAGAAGCAGCAAACAUGAGAAACAAAUUCAAGAUAAGCUUCAUGUAACUUGGAACAAAACUCUCGCGAGUCUAUCCUGCAUCUCAGUGGGAUACGGAGCUAAUCCAUGAUCUAGCAGACUGCAGACUCGUAUUUGGUGCAACUGGACAAAUUGAAGUUAUACGAGGAUAAGUAAUGGACAAAUGUCUCAACAAGCCACACGCGUGGACAAAUGCUAUAGGCUGUCAAUUUCAAGGCAUCUUGGUGGUGGGAUAAGACUUUGGGACCAAUAGGUCUUGGGUUCGAUUCCCACAAAGGGGGUUUUCCCAUAUUUAUUGGGUUUCCUCCUGAAUUGGUGUAUAGGCAUUAUGCCUAGUGGAGAUGGAUAUGAUCGGGUGGUUCCGCUGGUG
rnacentral:lncRNA from 1 species